rnacentral:rRNA from 1 species
AUUGAACGCUGGCGGCAGGCCUAACACAUGCAAGUCGGACGGUAGCACAGAGAGCUUGCUCUUGGGUGACGAGUGGCGGACGGGUGAGUAAUGUCUGGGGAUCUGCCCGAUAGAGGGGGAUAACCACUGGAAACGGUGGCUAAUACCGCAUAACGUCGCAAGACCAAAGAGGGGGACCUUCGGGCCUCUACCUAUCGGAUGAACCCAGAUGGGAUUAGCUAGUAGGCGGGGUAAUGGCCCACCUAGGCGACGAUCCCUAGCUGGUCUGAGAGGAUGACCAGCCACACUGGAACUGAGACACGGUCCAGACUCCUACGGGAGGCAGCAGUGGGGAAUAUUGAACAAUGGGCGCAAGCCUGAUGCGGCCAUGCCGCGUGUAUGAAGAAGGCCUUCGGGUUGUAAAGUACUUUCAGCGGGGAGGAAGGCGGUGAGGUUAAUAACCUCACCGAUUGACGUUACCCGCAGAUGAAGCACCGGCUAACUCCGUGCCAGCAGCCGCCGUAA